UCAAAGUAUGGAUAGUACCAUGAAUUAUUUUUGUCAACUUUCUGGCCAAAAAAAUGUUCAUAAAUGAAAAGCCAAUUUUUUUUUCAAAUAAUGUGAUCCUAUGACCCAAAACUUGAUCCUUCAAUAUCUUAACAUUAAUGCCUCCCAGAAUUUUGGAAAAUAUGUGCAACAAGCUCUCAUGUUGGAAAACUUACUUACUCCUAUGGGUCAUUUGGAGUUAGCUAAAUAUGCCCUUAAUGCUAUCUCAUCAUACACAAUGCUAUAUUUUAAGAUCUCUAAAAAAAUUGCAACGCCAUGGAUAAUAAGAUGUUAUUUUGGGUUCUACAUCCAUUAUUUUGAUUGGGAUAGAAUUAUUCAACCUAAAGAGAAUGGGGGAAUCAAUAUAAUAGAUGCUUACACAAAAAGAUCUUUUGCUCCUUACUAGUCUACCCAGGAGAUUAUUCUCCAACUGUAACUCUUUCUAAGCUCGUACCUUAAUAUGUCAAUAUAACCGUCCUAGAAUAUCCACCUCCUCUUUGUUUAUUUGUAAUAACACUCUUACAAUGGAUAGGAUAUGUAAUAAUAACAUAGCUUGGAAAUUGGGUUUCAGACAAUAUUAUUAUUCUUUUGAAAUAAUCAAUGGUUGCUUAACUCCCUUCCCUUUGAAAGACUUAUAGAAGGCUCCUUAACUUGGGCAGAGAAUAAUUAUCAACUUUCAAAACCUUUGGGAAUAUGGAAUCUGAUACUGGAGAGAGUUUUAUUUUCAAAUCCCUGAUGUUUUAACCUCAUCGUCGAGUGGAAUCAACUCAUGUUCAUAUCCCUCCACUCUAGAGUGUCCGUAUUGGGCUAGUACUUUAUAUAGAUUAUUCUCUAUUAAGUCUGUGGUUUGGAACCUAAUCCAGUUGGUGUACCUUAUGAGUAUGUAUGGAUUUAGAAAUUAAAGACAAUCAACAAAUACAAGUUUAUAAUGUGGUUGUGUUUUCAUGAUAGACUUCCUACCAUGAAACUUCUCCACCACAUCGGUAUCUCUAAAAACUCUAUUUGCCCUGUUUGCAAUACUUUUGAUAAACUUACAAAGCCCAUCUUUCUACAAUGCAACAUAGCUAGAAAUUUUUGGCUUGAUCUUAGUUUGAAUAUUGAUAGUAUUAGAUCCUUCAAUCAAUGGCUAACAUCUUUAAAAGAGUUGCAUUUUCUCCCUCUUAAUACUCCC
rnacentral:lncRNA from 1 species